rnacentral:rRNA from 1 species
UACGCAGGGGGCUAGCGUUGUCCGGAAUCAUUGGGCGUAAAGAGCGUGUAGGCGGUCCGGUAAGUCCGCUGUGAAAGUCGGGGGCUCAACCCUCGAAUGCCGGUGGAUACUGUCGGGCUAGAGUCCGGAAGAGGAGUGUGGAAUUCCUGGUGUAGCGGUGAAAUGCGCAGAUAUCAGGAAGAACACCUAUGGCGAAGGCAGCACUCUGGGACGGUACUGACGCUGAGACGCGAAAGCGUGGGGAGCAAACAGG